rnacentral:lncRNA from 1 species
AUGACCUGCUGCUACACAGAGAGGCUGUGUGUGUGCCAGAGAGUUGUAGCUCUGAGGACGCUUCUGCAGGUAGUGAACGUGUGCCAGGAAGUGCCGCAAUACUUACAGCUCACAGACCCAAGGAAACCACAGCUUUGCUUUGUCCUUUUGCAGAGGCAGCAGUCUCUGCUCUCUGAAGAUGAGGAGUACACUACAGGGUCAGAGGUCACAGAGGAUGAGAUCGGAGAUGAAGAAGACACAUCGAAAAAACAAGCUACAAAGAAAAGUUUGUUCUAUCCUGUUGUUUUAAAGGCACCAUCUGGAGACUCAACCCCGUUCAUCAUCAGCAUCCAGAAGAAUAAAUUAAGUGGGAUAGCAAUCGCUCCAUAA